rnacentral:lncRNA from 1 species
CUGGGAAUGAGAUUAGGAAUAACCAAAUAUCUGACAUCAUGUUUUGUUUACAGGCACUGCACAUUCUGAUCUGACUCUGAUUGGUCGACCAUGAGUGGCAGCAGGGAGGACCCUCCUCCUCAGACACAGGGUUCUGGAGGAGACAGAAAGAAUCACACCCUUCUCUUCUUCCCCAUCCAGCCUUUCUCCUCCUCCAUCCAUCUCUCAGGUUGACGUGCAGAGGGGGGAGCCUGUAGUCGAUGUUGAGGUUCAGACAGCAGGUGAAAGAAUGCUGAGGGUGAGGCAGGUCCGUGGCUCAACGUGCACUCUAAGGCCACCGUUGUAUGACAAGAGUAUGAACAGGCCCUGUUGUAUAUGCAGGAUCACAGUGAAGAGGAGGAGGAGGAGGGAGGAGAGGAACUGUGGGAUCUAGAAGCAGACACAGAGCUUGUGACCCUGCGGUCCAUGUUGGUGACAGUAAAAUGGGACAAAUGAAUCAAUAAGGAGGUAAUCCCACCUCAUGUAGCCACAGGCCACAGCAACCCUGUCAUUCAAGACACAAGUCACUGAUCCUCAGGGCUUGGUCCUGAGCAGACAGAGAGUACAGAGUGGCAGCAGUCCAGGCCAAGCGGGCAGGAGACAUGGAGCUAGCCAGACGUUAAUAUUGGACAGCAAAGAAAUUAGAGGUGAUGGUUUAAGAGGCAUCUGAGAGAGGAGUGAGUGGACAUCAGUUCCAUACCGCCCCCUCCUGGCGAACCACUCAAACAACAGACAGAGACAGACGCCAUCCUCAGUCACAUGACUUGUCCUGCCAGUAAGAAGGAGCCUCCUAGCAGCAUGAUCCUGGUAUUUAUCCUCUCCUCUCUAGCCGCUUCAAGUCAUUCUCUCUGUUUUUACCUCCACCACUGUGUUGUCAUUGUAGGUGUCAAGAACAGAAGACAAGGUACAAGUCCACUCCCAGCCCCUCCCAGUGCCUCCUGGGGCCUCAGACCAGUCCAGCCAGCUGAUAGAGGUCCUCACACAGCAACAACAGAAGUGUCUGUGCCAGCAGUUCACCCACAUGGGGGAGGUCACUGAGACAACUAGGAGGAAGCGCAGAGGGACCAAACCCGCUCUGUGAGAAGCACUACCUGUCCAGACUGGUUUUACACUCAACAAUUUUCUAUCCAAGCUGGGAGAGAGCGUGAGGAUGGCUCAUGUCAUGCAGAACAGCCUCAAUUCGUCGGUGCGGGGACUCUACAAGGUGGCGAAAUAAGUUCCACAGGGAUGCUGGCCCAUGUUGACUCCAAUGCUUCCCACAGUUGUGUCACGUUGGCUGGAUGUCCUUUGGGUGGUGGACCAUUCUUGAUACACACAGGAAACUGUUGAGCAUGAAAAACCCAGCAGCGUGUCAGUUCUUGACACAAACUGGUGCACCUGGCACCAACUACCAUAACCUGUUCAAAGGCACUUGCAUCUUUUAUCUUGCCCAUUCACCCUCAGAAUGGCAUACAUACACAAUCCAUGUCUCAAUUGUCUCAAGGCUUAAACAUCCUUCUUUAAUCUGUUUCCUCCCCUUCAUGCACACUGAUUGAAGUGGAUUUAACAAGUGACAUCAAUAAGGGAUCAUAGCUUUCACCUAGAUGCACCUGAGGCUGCCUCCUACCAGUGUCUGCAGGGCAGAGCGUCUCAACUGCUAUCUACUCAGCCCUCUUCGGCCACCGGGCAUGACCCGGCACGGGCAUCACAUCCACUGCUGGUUCCUCCUGCCUCUGCCUCUCUGCCUAGACCAGCACCCAGAGACCACCACCACCUCACAGCCCGGUCCAACGCAGCCAGGCCGCUGGGGAAAUAAGAAUAGAGGACAACAUCGUCAAAACAACAAUAAUAAAAACAGGCCACUAGAGAGACAGACAGAGAAGAAGUCAGUAAAGGACAGGAUAAUGUUCAUAUGUUACAACGCAAAAAAACACAGUGAAACAGGUCGAAUACCAUCUGAACUUAUACAAUAUCUAAUGCUUGUUUUGGUUUUUUCAUUGCAACAUAUUUUGUUAUGGUGUGUGCUCUAAUGAACACAACCCGGUUUCAGUAAAGAACAUGUUCAAAUGAAUAGAGGACA